GCCCGGCUAGCUCAAUCGGUAGAGCGUGAGACUCUUAAGGGUUCACUUCACAGGUAUCCUGUGGCAUCUCAAGGUUGUGGGUUCGACCCCCACGUCGGGCU